rnacentral:misc_RNA from 1 species
GGAGGAAGGGGCAAAGCCAGAGAUUUACACGGAAGAACACGAGAAAUUGUUGGGUUCCACUGAUUUGAGCUGGACUUUUUUUGUGGAUGGAUAUGGAAAUGAUGGGAAGAGAAUCUAUGAUCCAGUCAAAGGAAAAACUUGUCAUCAGUGCCGACAGAAAACUCUUGGUCAUCGUACUCAUUGUAGCAAUUGCCAAAUUGUUCAAGGACAAUUCUGUGGAGAUUGCUUGUAUAUGAGAUACGGAGAACAUGUACUCGAAGCGAACAAGAAUCCGAAUUGGCUUUGCCCUGUUUGUCGAGGAAUAUGUAACUGCAGCUUGUGC